AUGACGAGAAUCAGCGCCGGUGUGAGUGUUUCGAGAACAGGAUUGAGACUAUGUUUGGGGAGGAGAAUGAUCUUUUGACACGACAACUGACAACAAGAAACUUGAUCAAAAUGAAGCUAUUUGUUGUCUUUUAUCCAUCAUCUCCAGGCCAUGAUGUCAGAGCACACCUCAUCUCAACCAGCGUACAAACCCACUUUACUGCAAUCACUAAACCAAUCAUCAGUACAUCUUCAUAAACACGUCUCAUUUCUCAAGUUCUUUCAGGUUCAGUGUUGACUGUAAGAUCUCCACGGACUGCGUUUACUGGCACUGUCAGAACAACCUCACACUCGAAACCAUGACUCCUAUCAUCAUUGGCGUAGCAGUAGGGGUGAUUUUGCUCAUCAUCAUCAUCGCCCUCAUCAGCUGUAGGGGUUGUAAUUGUUGCAUUAACGCCAGCUGAUGAGUUCAGCUCCCAGCAUUCCCUCUCAUGUCAGCUCGACCGGACCCUUGCGUACAGCAGUAGACCGCGCCUUAUUGCAUGAAGAUUAUACAAGACCAGCGGAUGUGCUUUAGUCUAUUCUUUUGUCUCUUUUAUUUUCAGUUUAUUCUUAGAGUUUGGUUUUUGUUCAGACAGUUUUACUUUAUUAAGUGUUUUGUUUCAGUUUUGUUGAUGUUUCUUCCAUUAUAUUUAGUUUCAGUGUUUUAGAGCUGUCACAGUUAACAGAGCUGAAUGUAAAUCUAGUGUCAUGUUUACUGCAGGUGGAUUGAUUAUAAAUGCUCAAAAUUGACUGAUUAAUAUAUUGUGUAUCAAAGACUAAAAUUAACUCAUGGUCAGUUUUAUUUUGUUAGUUUUGUUGGUUAAUGUGAUUGAGUUUCAGCUUUUUCACUUUUGUUAUUUAGGUUUUCAUUAGUUUUCACUAACAGUGAAAUGUUCACAGAUGUCUUAAAUGACUUUCACACAAAACCUGCAAACAUCAGGAAAAGAAACAGCCAUGAUUCUGUUUGAAGGAAGUGUGAACAAGUUUUCUGUUGAGUUUAUUCUUCUGAAGGUCUAAAAUGUGAGAAAGAUUUCCCACAGUUCUGUCACGAGUGUUCAACACUGGAUCCCGACUGAUGAAAUAAAAGAGAAAUGAUCU